CGGGUACAGAACAGCGAAGACAG
rnacentral:piRNA from 1 species